rnacentral:lncRNA from 1 species
AUGCACUUACCCUCUCUUCGUAGCUAACAAGAGGCCUGUCUCCCAUGGUUUCCCUUCAUUCUUCUUCUUCCUCAGUCCUCACCAUUAAUGAUUCAAACUCAAAAUUGACCGUUACCCCACCAAAGCUUAUGGUUUGACAGUGAUGGGGGAAAUGUGAAGAUGACAUGUGCAGGCAGCCAUCCACCCUGACAGACUUCUUCUCAAUUAUUUAACUUGAAUAAAGCUGACAGCCCAUUUUGUGAUUGCGACAGAUGGGGCAUGAAUUGGCUGUAAUUUGAUCUACUACAGGGUUUGUAUGGGGUUUGAAAAUUCUUUCGGAUGGAUCGAUUCAAGAG